AUCGAGCAAAACAGCCCAAAACGGCUCCGUUUUUGUAUGCCACGGGCUGUUUUCUGUAGCCCGCUACUACAUGUGAAACAUCAGCCAUCUCAAGACCCUGGAACCACCUGGGUGGCACCAUGGGGGAUGGGGCUUCGGUAUAGUGUCGGGCAUUGAACAAUCAUUCGCAAGUUCGCAUGUUACCUUGACGAGAACUUGUUGUCACGCUCGACACCCAAUGAGUAGUUAUUUGUGG
rnacentral:lncRNA from 1 species